UACGUAGGGGGCCAGCGUUGUCCGGAAUCAUUGGGCGUAAAGCGCGCGUAGGCGGUCAGGUAAGUCCGGUGUGAAAGUCAAAGGCUCAACCUUUGAAUGCCGCUGGAUACUGCCUGACUUGAGUCCGGAAGGGGCGAGUGGAAUUCCUGGUGUAGCGGUGAAAUGCGCAGAUAUCAGGAGGAACACCUAUUGCGAAGGCAGCUCGCUGGGACGUUACUGACGCUGAGACGCGAAAGCGUGGGGAGCAAACAGG
rnacentral:rRNA from 1 species